GGCCCCGGUGGUCUAGUUGGUUAGAUCUCCAUCAUCUAAGGCGUCAGAUUUGUUUGAAUACACAGAAAGUCGAGGGUUCGAAUCCCUCAGGGGCCC